rnacentral:rRNA from 1 species
AACGCGAAGAACCUUACCUACCCUUGACAUGUACGGAAUUCUGCUGAGAGGUGGAAGUGCUCGAAAGAGAACCGUAACACAGGUGCUGCAUGGCUGUCGUCAGCUCGUGUCGUGAGAUGUUGGGUUAAGUCCCGCAACGAGCGCAACCCUUGUCAUUAGUUGCUACGAAAGGGCACUCUAAUGAGACUGCCGGUGACAAACCGGAGGAAGGUGGGGAUGACGUCAAGUCCUCAUGGCCCUUAUGGGUAGGGCUUCACACGUCAUACAAUGGUACAUACAGAGGGUCGCCAACCCGCGAGGGGGAGCUAAUCCCAGAAAGUGUAUCGUAGUCCGGAUUGUAGUCUGCAACUCGACUGCAUGAAGUUGGAAUCGCUAGUAAUCGCGGAUCAGCAUGUCGCGGUGAAUACGUUCCCGGGCCUUGUACACACCGUAGAGAC